rnacentral:rRNA from 1 species
GGGUCAGUUGGAUGGUCGUGCCACCGGUACGUACUGGUCUCACUGGUUCCUCCUUCCUGAAGAACCGUAAUGCCAUUAAUUUGGUGUUGCGGGGAAACAGGACUGUUACUUUGAAAAAAUUAGAGUGUUUAAAGCAAGCUAACGCUUGAAUACAUUAGCAUGGAAUAAUGAAAUAGGACGAUCGAUCCUAUUUUGUUGGUUUCUAGGAUUGACGUA